rnacentral:tRNA from 1 species
GCCCAAGUGGUGAAACUGGUAGACGCGCUAGACUCAAAAUCUUGUACGGGCAACCGUAUGUCGGUUCGAGUCCGACCUUGGGCACCA